rnacentral:lncRNA from 1 species
CUCUAUCUAAAUCUCAGUACUCAAAAGCUUUAAUGUUAUAUCUUUUGUAAGCUUUAAUCAAGGUUGUCAUCAAUCACCAAAAAGGGGGAGAUUGAAAGAGCAUCUAGGCCCCUAGUGGGUUUUGAUGUGUUGAAUGACAACAUGAUUAAAGGUCUAAUGAACUUAUUAAGUUUAUGAGUAGGUUAAUUACAUUUUAUGUAUAAUCUUUGUGGGAAGGAUUGUAUUAAAAGGCUCAUACAAUGAAAAGAACAAGUAUGGCAUAUGGCAUUAUUCAUUCAAGCAAGCAAUGAUGUAAAAUAAAGAUUGAUUCUUGGUUGAUAGCCUCACAUUGCAAGAUUGCUUGAGUUAAAGAUGAAUGUCAUAAAAUAAAUAGUAUGUGGAUCCCAUGAUAGUUAUAUGCGAUAUGUGACAAGCAAAUUGAAGAAAAGAUAGAGUCAUGAUGGCAUUGGGAUAUUAGUUGGUCUCUAAAUAAAAUGAGAAGUUUGUUGUAAAUAAAUGGGAUAUAGAAGUCAAAAGAAGGUAUGAUCUCAAGCGGAUUUCAUUCAUGAUGUCAAAACAUAGCUAGACUCAAAUGCGGCAGUAAUUGGAUGAAGAAAUCAAGCAAGUGAUUAGCAACGAGGUACUAGGCAAAGUUUGGUCAAGUGGUGACUUGGGCCAUGAGCUUUGCUAGGGUGAAGGGGCUAUUACUUAGAGGAUUUUGAGGUCUCAAGUCAAGCCUUACUGAGUACAGCAAUGGGAUGCAUCAAAUGUUUAUUGAGUUAUAUUUAUACCCCACGACCCUCUCAGUGGCUAGUUGCUGUUUUUGC